rnacentral:rRNA from 1 species
GGGUAAAAUUAAUAAAAAAUUAUAAUUAAUAAAAAAAAUUUUAAUAUUAAAAAUAAAUAAAUGGGGGUUUAAGUAUUUUUAAUAGAAAAAAUUAAUAUUUUUAUAGUUAAAUAUUACUGUAAAGGAAUAUUUGAAAUAAUUGAAAAAAAAUUAAUUAAAAAGUAAAUUUAGUUUAUUGUAUCUUGUGUAUCAGAGUUUAUUAAAUAAUAAUAAUUUAUUUAAAUAAAUCUCGAAUUUAAAAGAGUUAAUUAAUUAAAAAAUUUAAUGUUGUAUAAUUAUUUUUAAUAGUUAAUUAGAAAUGAAAUGUUAAUCGUUUUUAAAUAUAUCUAGUUUUUUUAGAAAAAAAUUUAAUUUAAAAUUAAAAUAAUUUUAUAAUUAUUUAAUUAAUUAUAAAAAUUUAAAAUUUAAUAUUUUGGGGGAUAAGCUUUAAAUUAAAAAUUUAUAAUUAAAUAAAUUAAAAAAAUUAAAAUUUUUAAUAUUUAUAUUGUUUAAAAAUUAUAAUUUAUUAUAAAAAAUUUUAAUAAAAAAUAAAAUUUAAAAUAAAAAUUUAAAUUUUUAUAAAAAAAUAAUUUAUAAUUUAAUAAAAUUAGAAAUAAUGAUAAAAUUAGUAUAAUAUUUAAAAAUAAGUAAAUAAAAAUUUAUUGAAAAUUAGAUUAAAGGAAUUCGGCAAAAAUUUAUGUUCACUUGUUUAUCAAAAACAUGUCUUUUUGAAUAUAAUUUAAAGUCUAAUCUGCCCACUGAUAUAUUAAUUAAAGGGCUGCAGUAUAUUGACUGUACAAAGGUAGCAUAAUCAUUAGUCUUUUAAUUGGAGACUUGUAUGAAAGAUUUGAUGAGAUAUAAACUGUCUCUAUAAUAAAAUUAGAAAUUAAUUUUUUAGUAAAAAAGCUAAAAUAAAGUUAAAAGACGAGAAGACCCUAUAGAGUUUUAUAUUUUAUUUUUUUUUUGUGGUGUGUAUAUAAAUAAUUAAAAAAGAAAGUAAAAUAUUUUGUUGGGGUGAUAAAAAAAUUUAAUAAACUUUUUUUUGUUUUUUAACAUAGAUAAGUGAUUUAUUGAUCCAUUAUUAAUGAUUAAAAGAAAAAAUUACCUUAGGGAUAACAGCGUAAUAUUUUUUUUUAGUACAAAUAAAAAAAAAAGUUUGCGACCUCGAUGUUGGAUUAAGAUAAAAUUUAAAUGCAGAAGUUUAAAAUUUUGAUCUGUUCGAUCAUUAAAAUCUUACAUGAUCUGAGUUCAAACCGGUGUAAGCCAGGUUGGUUUCUAUCUUUAAUAAAUAAAAAUAUUUUAGUACGAAAGGAUCAAAUAUUUAAAAUAAUUUUAUUUAUUUAUUUGAAUAUUAAUAAUUAUUUAUUUUA